rnacentral:misc_RNA from 1 species
UUCAGCGAAUUCUCAUAUGGAUUAUCAUAUGCAGGUGGGACCGACGAUCCUAUAGGAUUAUUAUAUGGCGGGGGAGUGUAGAUGGAGGAGUAUGGUGGAUUGGCAGUAGGGUUAGGAUUUGGUGCGAUGGAGGAAAGGGAAGGUUGAGGAGGAGCAUAACUGGAAGCCGUCUGCUUCUGAUCGUAAGGCGGGUAAUAGGAUUGCUGAGUGUUUGGAGGCUGGUAGGGCCCAUUGGAAUCGUAGGGAGGGAAAGAAGGUUGAGGAGGUUGUGGUGACGGGUUGAAUGAGGAUUGCAGACUAUUAGGGUUCAGAGAAGCAGU